rnacentral:rRNA from 1 species
GAUGAACGCUGGCGGCGUGCCUAAUACAUGCAAGUCGAGCGAACAGACGAGGAGCUUGCUCCUCUGACGUUAGCGGCGGACGGGUGAGUAACACGUGGAUAACCUACCUAUAAGACUGGGAUAACUUCGGGAAACCGGAGCUAAUACCGGAUAAUAUAUUGAACCGCAUGGUUCAAUAGUGAAAGACGGUUUUGCUGUCACUUAUAGAUGGAUCCGCGCCGCAUUAGCUAGUUGGUAAGGUAACGGCUUACCAAGGCAACGAUGCGUAGCCGACCUGAGAGGGUGAUCGGCCACACUGGAACUGAGACACGGUCCAGAAUACUACGGGAGGCAGCAGUAGGGAAUCUUCCGCAAUGGGCGAAAGACUGACGGAGCAACGCCGCGUGAGUGAUGAAGGUCUUCGGAUCGUAAAACUCUGUUAUUAGGGAAGAACAAAUGUGUAAGUAACUAUGCACGUCUUGACGGUACCUAAUCAGAAAGCCACGGCUAACUACGUG